rnacentral:rRNA from 1 species
UACGGAGGGGGCUAGCGUUGUUCGGAAUUACUGGGCGUAAAGCGCGCGUAGGCGGACCUGCAAGUCGGGUGUGAAAGCCCCGGGCUCAACCUGGGAAUUGCAUUCGAGACUGAAUAGCUAGGGUACGGUAGAGGGAAGCGGAAUUUCCGGUGUAGCGGUGAAAUGCGUAGAUAUCGGAAGGAACAUCAGUGGCGAAAGCGGCUUCCUGGACCAGUACCGACGUUCAGGCACGAAAGCGUGGGGAGCAAACAGG